AAGACUGCCACUCAGAUGCUUUUGGCCAAAUUUCACUUUAUUUACAAAAAAUGCCACUCAGGCUUAAGGCCCGAUUUUCAGCCGCUGCAUCUCAGGUUUGACUCGGGGAGAGAGGGAAGGGGGACAUAACGGCUGACAAAUUGGAGAGAGACGAUCGCUCCCAUUUUUCACUCGGAGACAGCUGGGUGUGGCUGUGGCUGUGGCGAGAGGAGAGGAGGGGGACGGAGGGAUUGGAGAGGAUGGGGACAGAGGGAUAAAGCUUCGGCUUCGGCUUGAUGAGAGGGAGAGAGAGCCUGCGGCUUGCAGAAUCACGAUGAUAGAAGAAGAAGCUCAGAAGUCUGAUACGCCAAGUUGGAGAAACCCUAAAAACCAGAGAAGAAGAAGAAGCUCAGAAAUCGGGUGAGGAUGUUGACAAAUCAGCAAGCCCAGUUUCAGGCGACUCUGCAAAACCAACAACCUGACCUCCGACGAGAGGAGAUUCGUCAGAUUCGAGCCGAACCGAGGCUGUCGUCGACUGAGAGAACAUCAUCAAUCCCGACUUUUGGAUCGACUCCCUCUACCUCCUCCCUGUCCGCGACUCCUGCUCCGUCUCUCUUCUUGCGAGUUUGCUCGGGUUCUGCUCCCCAGCUAUUUCAAGCACAAAAACUUCUCCAGUUUCUUUCGUCAGCUCAUACAUACAGUCUCCAAGGAGGAGAAAGAGAACGAUAUGAAUGAUUUAGGGUUUGGGUGUUAGUGUGUGAGCAGGCGUAUUGAUGACUGUAAUCAAGAUAUUACUCGGAGAAGUUUGAAGGGCCCUGGGACAAGGAGGAUUGCAUUUCAGAGUAGCAGAAAUACAAGGCCACCCUCUCUUUGCAGAGGGCUAAUAUACUGAAUUUUUUAUCUUUGCAUGAUUUUUGGUCUUUGAAUGGUUGUCGUCUUCUUCUUCGUUCUUUUUUCAAUGGCAAAGCUGAACGAUCCAUGGAGCACAUGUUGUUGAGCCUUUUGCUGCUACUGGUCUGGUCCAAUUCGAAUGAGUUGAUGGAGUACAAUCUUUAGGCCCGUUGGAGGAGCUGAAAAACCAGUCUCGACUCCGCCGACCGAGACAUAUUCCGAGAUAUGCUCCAGCUCAAUAACAAAUCAGACAUCAGCCCAGCAGCUUUUGGUGUGCCUGCGAAUGUUGAUUCGGCGAUGCGUUUACAAUAACAUCAAGAGGGAGAGAUUCAAAAGAUGUUCCCAGUGUAGCUGUUUCAGAGUUGAAGAGGAUGUUGAUGCUUUUGCUGCAGAAGUUUCAGCAAGAAUGAUGGCGAGAUGCACACAAGGAUCAGUAUAAUAGCAGGACCUACUACAUGAGCAAGACCAAGUAGCCGACCCUCUACAACAAAAUCAGCCCGCUCGGAAACCCUAGCUUGAAUGUGGUUCCAGAGCUCGACAACUGGGUCUACAAUGGCAACAAAGUCUGAGUCAUGGAGCUUCAGUGCAUCAUUCACGACCUCCGAAAGUGGAAACGCUUCUCCCAAGUCCUCCAGAUUUCCAUCUUUCUUUCUUGCCUUGCAAUUUGUGUUAUCCCCCGUUUGGUUGCUCAUACAAUGAAAGAAAAUUGAGAGAAGCAUCAAAGUAAUUAAAUUUUAGUUAAAGAAAGUGAGUGAAAGAGGGAAUUAGGAUUUUUAUUAGUUUAUGUGUUCCUCUCCCUCCAAACCUAAUGGCUUAGCCUUUGAUCUGAUCAAACCCACCUCCAAAACCCUUCCUUGAUCACCAUCUUCAGCAACCCAAUUCGGCGCUUACUCGGAUCAGGACCUCUUGGAGAUUCGGAGCUCCAGCUCUGCCCACAAGUGUGCGAAGGCGACAUGGUCCUGGUCGACGGUUCGGAAGCUCUGGUGAUUCUAACUGAAAAAGAGGUCAAUAACAAGAAGGUGAUGGAAUUCAAUGUUUUUUGUUUGUUAUAGAGGCAUAUUUGCAACAGCAUAUCAGAUAAUAAUUCUAGAUAGUCUGUUCUGAUAGCUUAGAUUGUGUUUCAUGAUGCAUAUGGCUGAAGCGGUUUUGACUACUUUUUGGAUUGCUCAUUAAUUUUUUAGCUGCCCUUGGCUGGUACAAAUAUAUAUAAGAAGUUUGUCAUUUUAUCAACUUUUACUCAGGUCAAAUUUAGGAUCCAUUUGUACUCAUGCGUAAUUGGGGUAAAGUGCACAUGCUUUGUUUUCUGUUGUA